ACUUCAGGUCAUGUUUCUGUUGAUUUAACAAAUGACAUAGAAACUCUUAUUUUUCAAAUACAUUUUCCCUCCUGGGUCUCUAGCUCUUUAAGAAUUAACUGUUUUAAAUGAUCUAGUCUUCAUACUUGCAGACAGAGACUUAGCUCUAAUAAUAUGAUUAAUUAGUUUCUCUAUCAGAUAAUAACAUGAAAAAUAUUAGAAUCAGGAAAUAAACUCCAAAGACUAAUCAUUUAAAGAUAUAAUAAGAUAUAUACUAUAUAUAAUAAUCCUGUCAUUAGAUGGACCUCUCAUUUUAAAACAUAAUAAAAUGUGUAGUUUAAAAACCUAAAAUCAGCCCUAUGAAACGUGUUAGAAGCUUGGAAGUUGCCACAAGUCAAAGUGAAACUGCCUUUGCAAAAAAUCAUAAGUGAGGAAAUUAUGUCGGUGAAACAGACCUAACUGACCCCUUCUUCCUUCUAACCUUGAAACUGUGUUUGUUCAUUCCGGGGUGUAGGCCAAACUAGCCUUGGGAAGGAAUUUAUAGUUUAAACUCUGAAAUAAAAUUGAUAACAGUCCUUUCCUGAAAAACCCUUUCUUGCCUGGGGACCAGUCUGCCUUUGUAGGACUAAUAAAUUAGCUACAAGAUUAGAAAUUACGGUUUAGGGGCCAUGCAGCCUCUGACUGCAAGAGUCUGAACCUUCCCAAAAUCGCUCCUGGGAAUAACAUCACUAUGGUAAAACCUAAGAUCAGUGUUUAAGAUAUUUACAGACCCUGCGUUCUGAUAUAGCACAUGACAUCACUCAGAUGACGCCACUCAGACUGAUAAUACAGCUCAGCCAGUUCUGCGAUCCCACCCAGGAAUGAAUGUAAGCCAGCAAGAACUCACUUCGACCCCCUAUGAUUUUACCUUCAACCCAACCAAUUAGCACUCCUCACUUUCCAAGCCCAUACCCGACAAACUAUCCUUAAAAACUCUGAUCUGGGAGACUGAUUUGAGUAAUAAUAAAACUCCGAUCUCCCACACAGCUGACUCUGCUUGAAUUACUCUCUCUCCAUUGCAAUUCCCCUGUCUGGAUAAGCUGGCCCUGUCUAGGCAGCAGGCAAGGUGAACACUUGAUUACAAAAGGAUGAAGAAACUGAAGAAUCAACAACUCUUAGAUCGAUCAGAGAAGCGAGGGCACAGGGCAAACCACUGCCUCCAAAACUGGGUAAGUCAAGAGUCCUACCCACUAUAAACCUAAAUACCAUGGUAAGCUAUUACAGCAUUGGGAACAGAUGGUGAAGUUUUCCAUAAAAGAGAAAGGGAAACAGACCUGUCUGAAGCAAGAAAGCCUGUGUGGAUGAAUAUUGCUUCCAGGAGUCACAUAAUUACAUCUAAAAUCAUAGAAUGUUAGAGCUGGAGGAAUCUUUAGAGUUUGCCCAAGGUCCUUCACCAGCAUUUUACAGAAGAUUCUUCGAUUUAACUGCUCUUAAUUACAUCCCGUUGCACUGGCCCCAUCAAGUUGCUUUAAACAGCCCUUCUAGUCAACAGAGCUGCAGAGAAAAACCUUGAGCUGUCACACUUCAUUUGUGAGAACACUCCAGAGCUUCCUCCAGCUGCUGAUUCCAAACCAGCUUCACAAAUAAACAACAUUUAUAAUCCCAGACCUGUGGGAAGCAUUUCCAGGAAAUAUGGAUCAUCACAUUGGCUCUUGUUACCAGAACUGUGCAAGGCUCCCAUUGGCCGAACACAACUGGAUUUCAGAAGACUUAAUGGAGACUAUACAGGAAUGACCUGCCUUGUUGUAAGAGGUUUGGGGAGAGAGCCAUGUGGCAAGCAACUGCCAGCAGCCUCUUGGAACUCCUGGCUAACAGUCAGCAAAAAGCCAGAAACCUCAGUUUACAACCACAAAAUGAUGAAUCCUGCCAACAACCUGAGUCGGUUUUGCAGUGGAUCCAUCCCCAGUCAAGCUUUCUGAUGAGAAUCCAGCUCCAGCCAAGAGCUUUUGCUGUUGUUCUUGUAAUUAAUUGUUCCAAGCAUCCAUUCUUUCUGUAGCCUCAAGAUGGUAUAUACGAUUUUGCACUUCGUUGGGAGGUCAUGCUGAUACAAGAGGUGAGCUCCCACAGCCUCGGGCAGCUCCUCCCCUGUGGCUUUGCAGGAUACAGCCCCCAUCCUGGCUGCUUUCAGGGGCUAGUGUUGAAUGUCUGCAGCUUUUCCAGGCGCAUAGUGCAAGCUGUUGGUGGAUCUAUCGUUCUGGAGUAUGGAGGAUGGUGGCUCUCUUCUCACAGCUCUACUAGGCAGUGCCCCAGUGGGGACUCUGGGGCAUCCAACCCCACAUUUCUCUUCCACACUGCCCUAGCAGAGGUUCUUCAUGAGGCCCCACCUCUGCAGCAAACUUCUGCUUGGACAUCCAGAUGACAGGUAUCAUUAUCCAUGUGGAAGACUAGGCUGGAAGAGCUUGUCUCCAACUUUGAAGAAGUGAAAAAACCAGAUGUUUGGGGCAAUUCAGAAGUCUGUGGAAGUUGAAGGUGUUAAUCAAUGGCACUCAGGUUACUUCCAAGAGAAACUAUUCAGGAUUUCCAAGUAACGAAGAAUCAAGCUAGUUUGUAAUGUCCUCAAAGAAAGAAACAUUUUCAUUUCUACAUGACCAGCAGCUAUCAUAGGGGCUGGCACACAGAUUUCUCAUCCUGGGAGAAACCAGCUGCCAGGUCUUGAGGAACACUCAAGCAGCACUGUGGGGAGACCCAUGUGGUGAGGAACUGGAGCCUCUGGAUAACACUCAGCAGAAACUGAGGCCUUCCAACAACCCCAUGAGUGAUACUGAAAGCAGAUCUCCCAGCCCCAGUCAAGCCUUCGGAUGACUGCGGCCCAGUAACAGCUUGAAUGCAACCUCACAAGAGACGUUGAGCUAGAAGCAGCUAGCCAAUCCACUCUUGGAUUCCUGACCCUCAGAAACUGAUAAUAAUAAAUGUUUGCUGUUUUAAGCUGCUAAGUUUUGUAGUAAUUUGUUACAGAGCAACAUGUAACUAUCAUAUGUUAAUAUUAACAGUGAGAUGGUGGCAAAAUACCAACCCACAAUGUGGAAGUGGCUUUAGAACUGAGCAAUGGGCUUUGACGAAAGGGUUAGUGACAGUCUGUAGUGCCUCGAACACACCGUCAAUAGAAGCCUUGUGGUUUUUCCUAAAGCUACAGGUGAGGGCUCACAGGUAAAUGAAGCAAAUGUUGGAAACUAGAGAAAGAGGGAAUUCAUUAUGUUGUAGUAAAAAAAUUAGUAAUGCUUUUGCCUGAAG
rnacentral:lncRNA from 1 species